rnacentral:rRNA from 1 species
UACCACGUUGAAACAUUGGUUCUCAUACAAUCACUGAAGUUAAGCAAUGUAGUGCCUGGUCAGUACCUAGAUGGGUGACCACUUGAGCAUACCAGCUGCUGUU